AACGACAGACAAUAUAACAUUAAAAUAUCGUAUUGCCUACACCAGCGAGUUCCACCCCUCCUGGAAAAAGUCACGUUGAGACCAGC
rnacentral:lncRNA from 1 species